AGGCGCGGAGAGGCGCAGGCCCAGGCUCCACUCCCCAGCUGUGAAAGGGUUCUUUUCCCAGAGGAGCUCUACGGUGACUUUGAAGACUUGGAAACAGGACGUGCACAAGGGAAAAUCGGGCCCCGACACUCAGAAUGAAGAUAUAGAGAAACAAGGAAGAAAUUGACCCCGACGAAGAAGAAAGUGCCAAGAAAAAGCAUUUGGAUAAGAAAGAGAAGCAGAGAAAUGAAGCAGUUUUUGGUGGAAGAAGUGGACUGAAUCACGUAGAAUUUGAAGAUCAAGAUGAUGAAGCCAGAGUUCAGUAUGAGGGUUUUCG
rnacentral:lncRNA from 1 species